UAGGGAAUCUUCCACAAUGGACGCAAGUCUGAUGGAGCAACGCCGCGUGAGUGAAGAAGGUUUUCGGAUCGUAAAGCUCUGUUGUUGGUGAAGAAGGAUAGAGGCAGUAACUGGUCUUUAUUUGACGGUAAUCAACCAGAAAGUCACGGCUAACUACGUGCCAGCAGCCGCGGUAAUACGUAGGUGGCAAGCGUUGUCCGGAUUUAUUGGGCGUAAAGCGAGCGCAGGCGGAAUGAUAAGUCUGAUGUGAAAGCCCACGGCUCAACCGUGGAACUGCAUCGGAAACUGUCAUUCUUGAGUGCAGAAGAGGGGAGUGGAAUUCCAUGUGUAGCGGUGGAAUGCGUAGAUAUAUGGAAGAACACCAGUGGCGAAGGCGGCUCUCUGGUCUGAAACUGACGCUGAGGCUCGAAAGCAUGGGUAGCGAACAGG
rnacentral:rRNA from 1 species